GGCUCUGCGGGCGGUGGCAAACCCAGCCUAGUAUGUAAAGUUGGCGGUGCCUGGUGGCGCCUCUGACACGAAGCUGGGUGGGGUAGAAAGUAGAGGGCUGUAGUUGAUGCAGGUGGGAGAAGGAGGGAGGCGGCAGCGAAUCACUUAUAAAUGACUCCGAAGCAGGACCUGGAGACUCAAUUCCAGGAGGAUAACGGUCAUUCGUGACCAGGAAGGAAAGACCUGAGACAUGGAAUGAGCGAUUGCAGCCCUUCAGUGUGAGUCAGUGGGCCCUGAGAAAGGGGAAUGCCUGCCACCUGGCCUUCAUUCGACUACAGCCACUCCAACCACUCCCUAUGGUGAACCUAGAGGAAACUGAGAAUGCAGGAUUACAGGCCCCAGUUACCUAAGAUGACACAGAUUCACAUCAAGAUAAAGAUGAUGUGCAAAGAAAACCCAUGCCCCCAAAGAGAUUACAGCCACUCCUCCAAACAUCCAGUGGGAAUAACCGCAAAAGUCACGUUGGGGCCCCUUAAUAGAACAGGGUGAGAGCUCCAUGACCCCAACUAGGUACGGUCUAUGAGUUCUGUGUCAGCAUUAAAGAAGUUAUAGAAGACUGACCAUCUGUCCCUCAUCACCCCAAUAAAGAUUUCUUGGGGUUCACAUCUCAAGGAAAAUUUAAAGUAGGAGAUAGAUGGUCCCUGGGCUGAAUAGCUGGUGAUUUUCAAACGGAGCAAAACUGAAGUUUGUCCUCAGCCAGACAAGAAUGACGUAUUUCCCCUCCUCCAUUGUUAGGAGGGGAUAAACUGAUGGGGGAGUUGUUGCAGUAAAAAGGGAAAAAGAGGAAUGAGUUUUUCUUUUUUACUUCUCUGAGAGUAAAGAAGAUAAAGAAGAACAGUGAGCAGACCUGAACAUUCCUAGUUUAUUUUACUUUAACUGCUCCUGAUUCCGAAUGUCUGUAACUAAGUUUGCUUUUCUGCUCCCUAGCUCUGCAGGAGCUACGCUUCACUUGACUCUAUGCUAAAUACAUCAUCUGUCUGAUGUUUACCUUUACAACAGCCUUCCCCUUGUAGUUACAUGUCAGAAAGAAGGCCUCAGAGCCACCAGACUGCCAGAUGCAGUUAUGGGUUACUGAUGCCAGUUUAUGACUGUCUUUGACAUGAUGCAAGAGGAAGAAAUCACGAUCCUAUCACCUUUGUUUCCUCAUCACCGACUCCUGACUGCUCCUGACUGUGAGCACCUGCCUUAGGGACACAGUUCUUGAGGCAGGAGCAUGCUGCGUUCCCCUCUCCA